rnacentral:rRNA from 1 species
AAAACUUUCAACAACGGAUCUCUUGGUUCUGGCAUCGAUGAAGAACGCAGCGAAAUGCGAAAAGUAAUGUGAAUUGCAGAAUUCAGUGAAUCAUCGAAUCUUUGAACGCACAUUGCGCCCCACGGUACUCCGUGGGGCAUGCCUGUUCGAGCGUCAUUG